CGCGGGGCCGCGCCGCCAUAGGACGCGGCUCCCAUCACUCUGCCCUCAGCCGAGCUCCGCCCCGCCGGCAGCGGCAGCCCCAGCCUCUCUCCCCGCCUUUUGCCUUCAAUAGGCCCCUAAAGGACAAUGCUGGGGGGGCCGAGGCCCCACAUGCGCCCCCCACGCCAGGCGGGUCGCUGCAGACCGCGGUAACGGGCCCCGAGGCGGAGGGCAGCAGCCGGCUCCCGGCGGGCGGCAGCCGCUGCCCGCGCUUUCUGAAUGUUUGGGUUUUGGGGUUCCACAAGGUGGUAUGGCAUCUCAGUUGGCUAACACUGUUUCUUCUGUACAGACAAAGUCUUCACUCAAACACCAUCUUGCAACCAAACUCAUCUUGGAAGAGAUGAUUCCCCCCUCCCCCAAGGUAUAGUCUCUUUUAGGCCUUUUCAACAGGUUAUGCCUGUAUAUUAAAAUACAUAAAAGCACGAAUCUAAGCCAGAAUAAUAACUGCUGCCUCCCUGCCCACAUGCUAAUUUCUUGAUAUAAGCAUAGCUUUGCUCUAUUUUCCUUUUUAUUUUAGCUAGGGUCCAUCUUUUUUAAAUAUGGUUCUUAUUGUACACCUAAUUGAGUACUAAAUUUGAUUCAGACUAACCAAAUAAGCCCACUUUUUUUUUUUAAGUUCAGUAUGCAGGAUUCCGUAGCUAUGUUAGCUACCGACAUCCUCUUUUAAAUGCUGCCUAGGCAGUAAUUGAUGUCAUAUGGACAUGGAGUUAAUCAGUUCAGCUUCCUCCAAAACCUUGAAUGAGUGUUAUGGGGAAGGUCUAAAGAAAAAGUAGUGCUUUAAAACCUGCGGUAGGAGGGCAGAGUCGUACUCUGAGCUGUUUAAUUACUGAUUAAGUUAUUUUACUUUCUUGCUACGAACAGAAAAGCUUGGGGGAGAAAUCCUGCCGGCUGUUUUCUGCUGAGUCACUCCGCUGGCUUAUCAAGAGCCUUUCACCAGUGCUGUAACAUGACUCGUGCCGAUCAAGAUCAAAUCCCCCUUUGUUCAUGUGCUCGGAACCUAAAUUCCCCUUUUCAAGAUAGAAAUAAAAUAUAGUAAAAUGUGGGACA
rnacentral:lncRNA from 1 species